UACGUAGGAUCCGAGCGUUGUCCGGAAUUAUUGGGUGUAAAGGGCGUGUAGGUGGGCGUUUAAGUCGGUGGUGAAAUCUUGCAGCUUAACUGUAAAACUGCCAUUGAAACUGGACGUCUUGAGUACGGCAGAGGGAAAUGGAAUUCAUGGUGUAGCGGUGAAAUGUGUAGAUAUCAUGAAGAACACCAGUAGCGAAGGCGGUUUCCUGGUCCGUUACUGACACUGAGGCGCGAAAGCGUGGGGAGCAAACGGG
rnacentral:rRNA from 1 species